UAUCGUCAAAUGAAGAAUCAUGUUAAGAAAUUUGUAAUUUGCGACUGAUUUUAUUGUUGUUAAAUAACCAUGGAGAACUAAUGCCAUUG